rnacentral:rRNA from 1 species
UGCAGUCGACGAUGAAGCGGUGCUUGCACCGUGGAUUAGUGGCGAACGGGUGAGUAACACGUGAGUAACCUGCCCAAGACUCUGGGAUAAGCCUGGGAAACUGGGUCUAAUACUGGAUAUGACCAUUGGACGCAUGUUCUGGUGGUGGAAAGCUUUUGUGGUUUUGGAUGGACUCGCGGCCUAUCAGCUUGAUGGUGGGGUAAUGGCCUACCAUGGCUUUGACGGGUAGCCGGCCUGAGAGGGUGACCGGCCACACUGGGACUGAGACACGGCCCAGACUCCUACGGGAGGCAGCAGUGGGGAAUAUUGCACAAUGGGCGAAAGCCUGAUGCAGCGACGCCGCGUGAGGGAUGACGGCCUUCGGGUUGUAAACCUCUUUCAGUAGGGAACAAGGCUAGUUUUGCUAGUUGAGGGUACCUGCAGAAGAAGCACCGGCUAACUACGUGCCAGCAGCCGCGGUAAUACGUAGGGUGCGAGCGUUAUCCGGAAUUAUUGGGCGUAAAGAGCUCGUAGGCGGUUUGUCGCGUCUGCCGUGAAAGUCCGGGGCUUAACCCCGGAUCUGCGGUGGGUACGGGCAGACUAGAGUGAUGUAGGGGAGACUGGAAUUCCUGGUGUAGCGGUGGAAUGCGCAGAUAUCAGGAGGAACACCGAUGGCGAAGGCAGGUCUCUGGGCAUUAACUGACGCUGAGGAGCGAAAGCAUGGGGAGCGAACAGGAUUAGAUACCCUGGUAGUCCAUGCCGUAAACGUUGGGCAC